GACGAACGCUGGCGGCGUGCCUAAUACAUGCAAGUAGAACGCUGAAGAGGGGAGCUUGCUCUUCUUGGAUGAGUUGCGAACGGGUGAGUAACGCGUAGGUAACCUGCCUUGUAGCGGGGGAUAACUAUUGGAAACGAUAGCUAAUACCGCAUAACAAUGGAUGACACAUGUCAUUUAUUUGAAAGGGGCAAUUGCUCCACUACAAGAUGGACCUGCGUUGUAUUAGCUAGUAGGUGAGGUAAUGGCUCACCUAGGCGACGAUACAUAGCCGACCUGAGAGGGUGAUCGGCCACCCUGGGACUGAGACACGGCCCAGACUCCUACGGGAGGCAGCAGUAGGGAAUCUUCGGCAAUGGGGGCAACCCUGACCGAGCAACGCCGCGUGAGUGAAGAAGGUUUUCGGAUCGUAAAGCUCUGUUGUAAGUCAAGAACGGGUGUGAGAGUGGAAAGUUCACACUGUGACGGUAGCUUACCAGAAAGGGACGGCUAACUACGUGCCAGCAGCCGCGGUAAUACGUAGGUCCCGAGCGUUGUCCGGAUUUAUUGGGCGUAAAGCGAGCGCAGGCGGUUUGAUAAGUCUGAAGUUAAAGGCUGUGGCUCAACCAUAGUUCGCUUUGGAAACUGUCAAACUUGAGUGCAGAAGGGGAGAGUGGAAUUCCAUGUGUAGCGGUGAAAUGCGUAGAUAUAUGGAGGAACACCGGUGGCGAAAGCGGCUCUCUGGUCUGUAACUGACGCUGAGGCUCGAAAGCGUGGGGAGCGAACAGGAUUAGAUACCCUGGUAGUCCACGCCGUAAACGAUGAGUGCUAGGUGUUGGAUCCUUUCCGGGAUUCAGUGCCGCAGCUAACGCAUUAAGCACUCCGCCUGGGGAGUACGACCGCAAGGUUGAAACUCAAAGGAAUUGACGGGGGCCCGCACAAGCGGUGGAGCAUGUGGUUUAAUUCGAAGCAACGCGAAGAACCUUACCAGGUCUUGACAUCCCGAUGCUAUUUCUAGAGAUAGAAAGUUACUUCGGUACAUCGGUGACAGGUGGUGCAUGGUUGUCGUCAGCUCGUGUCGUGAGAUGUUGGGUUAAGUCCCGCAACGAGCGCAACCCCUAUUGUUAGUUGCCAUCAUUCAGUUGGGCACUCUAGCGAGACUGCCGGUAAUAAACCGGAGGAAGGUGGGGAUGACGUCAAAUCAUCAUGCCCCUUAUGACCUGGGCUACACACGUGCUACAAUGGUUGGUACAACGAGUUGCGAGUCGGUGACGGCGAGCUAAUCUCUUAAAGCCAAUCUCAGUUCGGAUUGUAGGCUGCAACUCGCCUACAUGAAGUCGGAAUCGCUAGUAAUCGCGGAUCAGCACGCCGCGGUGAAUACGUUCCCGGGCCU
rnacentral:rRNA from 1 species